UCACGGAAAAUCUCGAACCAGGUCAUCAUGCGUCCGAUCGCCCCGAUGUCACGUCUCGAGUUGGAAGUCGUAUAGGUGUACGUUAUAGAAUUUCAGAAGCGCGGAUUGCCUCAUGCGCAUCUACUACUUAUUCUCGGGGAUGACGACAAGCCUCAGACGCCGGAUGAUUAUGAUAAAUUCGUUUCUGGCAAAAUCCCGGACCCGACCAACAAACAACAAUCGGCAAUCUCCGUAUAUGAAGGACGGGGUUUGUUCGAAACGUUACCCGAAACCCUUCUGCGACCAGACGCAUGCCAGCGAUAAGGGAUUCCCAGAAUACCGUCGUCGGUACAACGGACGCACCGUAACGAAGAAAGGGCCCACCCAAGUAGCAACCGAAGCCUGUUUCUCCCAGUUUCAACCCCCUCAUGUCCAAAAACUGCCUUCGCUCACUAUUCCUAUCCCAUUUCUACAUUCUACAACGUUUGUUGCGUUCUCGCUCAUCAGGGUGUUAGUCAAUUCUCUCUUGCCACACGAAGAGAAUUCUCCUGCACACUUCGUGUGUUUGAUUCUACCCAUCCCUGUUGAACACACGUCAUUUUCUUCCAUCGCACUCAUCAGGGUGUUUGCUCUUUUCCAUCCAAGCCAAAGAGCGACUUCAGUGUGCUCUGAACCGUGGACGUGAGAGUGUGUGUUUGUGUGCUGCGUGAACUAUUUUUCCUGCGUGAACUAUUUUUCCUGCGUGAAACACGUUCCAUACUGCGCCAUCCGCGGUGUUCUUUCUGCUUCAUCGGAGGACGAAUUUUUAUCAUCUAAUUGUUUGGUUUCAGAUGUGUGCUGCUACCGCUAGCUGUUCCUCAAAUUACUUAAAAAGUGUGACACUGUGUGCACAGGCGUUCAAGUUUCAAUUGAUCCUCAAGCACAAAGCCUUCAUACAACACCGCGGUUUAGGCGCGCCAAAUCUGAUGACAUCUUUCCUGAACCAAGCAGGCUGAACACGCGCACCACCACGGGCUCCAGCGCGGUGUGAAGAGGGAAGAAGAAAAGACAGAAUUGGAAACAGCCGCACCAGGCUUCCAACCACCGUGUGUGUGUGAAUGUAAGUAUGUGAGAACACAUGUGUGAAUCCUCUUGUGGGAACUGCAAAAAGAAGAGAAUAAAGAGUGUGAAGCAGCUAGACUGCCGCAACCAAA